AUUGAACGCUGGCGGCAUGCCUAACACAUGCAAGUCGAACGGAGGUAGGGGCAACUCUACUUCAGUGGCGGACGGGUGAGGAAUGCGUCGGAAUCUACCCUAUGGUGGGGGAUAACACAGGGAAACUUGUGCUAAUACCGCAUAAUGUCGAGAGACCAAAGCAGGGGACCGCAAGGCCUUGCGCGAUAGGAUGAGCCGACGCCCGAUUAGCUUGUUGGUAGGGUAAUGGCCUACCAAGGCGACGAUCGGUAGCUGGUCUGAGAGGAUGAUCAGCCACACUGGGACUGAGACACGGCCCAGACUCCUACGGGAGGCAGCAGUGGGGAAUAUUGGACAAUGGGCGCAAGCCUGAUCCAGCAAUGCCGCGUGUGUGAAGAAGGCCUGCGGGUUGUAAGCACUUUUGUUCGGGAGAAAUCAUGCUGGUUAAUACCUGGUAUGGAUGACGGUACCGAAGAAUAAGCACCGGCUAACUCGUGCCAGCACG
rnacentral:rRNA from 1 species